GAUGAAGACGCAGCGAAAUGCGAUAAGUAAUGUGAAUUGCAGAAUUCAGUGAAUCAUCGAAUCUUUGAACGCACAUUGCGCCCCCUGGUAUUCCGGGGGGCAUGCCUGUCCGAGCGUCAUUACAACCCUCAAGCUCAGCUUGGUGUUGGGCCCCGCCGCCCCGGCGGGCCCUAAAGUCAGUGGCGGUGCCGUCCGGCUCCGAGCGUAGUAAUUCUUCUCGCUCUGGAGGUCCGGUCGUGUGCUCGCCAGCAACCCCCAAUUUUUUUCAGGUUGACCUCGGAUCAGGUAGGAAUACCCGCUGAACUUAAGCAUAUCAAUAAGCGGAGGA
rnacentral:misc_RNA from 1 species